AUUGAACGCUGGCGGCAGGCUUAACACAUGCAAGUCGAGCGAGCGGCGGACGGGUGAGUAAUGUCUGGGAAACUGCCUGAUGGAGGGGGAUAACUACUGGAAACGGUAGCUAAUACCGCAUACCAUCAGAUGUGCCCAGAUGGGAUUAGCUAGUAGGUGGGGUAAUGGCUAACCUAGGCGACGAGACCUAGCUGGUCUGAGAGGAUGACCAGCCAGAUUUGAACUGAGACACGGUCCAGACUCCUACGUGAGGCAGCAGUGGGGAAUAUGGGACAAUGGGCGAAAGCCUGAUCCAGCCAUGCCGCGUGUGUGAAGAAGGUCUUCGGAUUGUAAAGCACUUUAAGUUGGGAGGCGUUACCAACAGAAUAAGCACCGGCUAACUUCGUGCCAGCAGCCGCGGUAAUUC
rnacentral:rRNA from 1 species